rnacentral:rRNA from 1 species
CUACGGGUCGCAGCAGUGGGGAAUAUUGCACAAUGGGCGCAAGCCUGAUGCAGCCAUGCCGCGUGUAUGAAGAAGGCCUUCGGGUUGUAAAGUACUUUCAGCGGGGAGGAAGGGAGUAAAGUUAAUACCUUUGCUCAUUGACGUUACCCGCAGAAGAAGCACCGGCUAGACUCCGUGCCAGCAGCCGCGGUAAUACGGAGGGUGCAAGCGUUAAUCGGAAUUACUGGGCGUAAAGCGCACGCAGGCGGUUUGUUAAGUCAGAUGUGAAAUCCCCGGGCUCAACCCGGGAAUUGCAUCUGAUACUGGCAAGCUUGAGUCUCAUAGAGGGGGGUAGAAUUCCAGGUGUAGCGGUGAAAUGCGUAGAGAUCUGGAGGAAUACCGGUGGCGAAGGCGGCCCCCUGGACGAAGACUGACGCUCAGGUGCGAAAGCGUGGGGAGCAAACAGGAUUAGAUACCCGCGUAGUC